rnacentral:snRNA from 1 species
ACAUAACUAAGCCUUGAGACUAAC